rnacentral:misc_RNA from 1 species
GCAUGUGCUGGGAUGGCAUGCCAAGGCAUGUGCUGGAUGGCAUGCCUUGGUGUGUGCUGGGAUGGCAUGCCAAGGACAAGCAUGUGCUAGGAAGGCAUGCCAAGGCGAAGCCAAGGCCAAGGCAAGCACAUGCAUUGUGAGCUAGUUGAGACGGUUGUCUUUACCCCAAGAGUGCCCAAGGGAGAGGAAAGAGGUGUCAAACGCAUGCUGAGCCCCACUUCGGUAGUUUGGCACCCCCAUAGGCAUUCAGGCAAGCGUGCCUAUGGGGAAGGUCGGUUGAGCUUGUCAGCCAUGUUGGGUACUAUUGUUUGGACGAGAUGAUGGCACACGCAUGCUUGCUUUAAGGUAACGUUCAGGCAGCACAGCCAGCCCGCAAUUGCUAGUUCAGGCGGGUGGAAUCUGCCUAUAGGGGUGCUGCUUGCUUGCUUGCUGUGGAAUUGGGCACGCCCGAUAUGUAUCAGCGACCCACGUAGUUCUUGCAUGGCCCCAUAGGUAUUCAGGCAAGCGUGCCUAUGGGUAAAG